UGGCUUGUAGACAUGGAAACCUACAGGUGUACCAGUACUGUGCUUCAUUCUUCAUACAAAAUGAGAAUAUUUAAUUUGAAAAUCAGAACUCUGAUACUUUCUAACAUGGAAAACGCAAGAAUUCUCAGCGUCUUCUUUCUCUACAUAAAAACAUUUUCAUCAUGCAUGAUCCCAUUUGAUCGUUGUUCCAUCCUUUACCAAAAUGCAUGUCACAAAAAGCUUCGGAUCUUUCCAUUGCCUUCAUUUAAAUGGUCGAUUUUCACGGUAUACCCAGGAGGCUGAAUUUGCAACCACAUGUGAUGUACUGUCGAGACAAUUGAAUGUAGAGGGCAACGUUUAUGCACCAUGUCUGUCUACCCGAUGUGCGACUAGUAAGUGUUUUCUCCAACCAAGAUAGUUACGUAUAUUAUAAAAAAUAACGUGUGGGGAUAUCUUCCUAUCAAUAUUUAAAUUAAGUAUCUUCAAUCUCUUUAAGAAAUCUCAAAGAUAUCAUCAAGACAUUUUAUAAUAAGAUCUCAUGUAUUUAUAUGAUCCAUCAUUUAACUUAUUCAGUGCUGGGAAAGUGGGUUGCAUGCACCGCAUGUAGCUUUGUCCACAUUCCCAAACAUGUCCUCAUGUUCAUUGAUCUUUGGCAAUAUUAUAAACCUAAAUUAUAUUUCCUUCAUCUGUACAUUACAUUCGACUGAACAACUAAUCACAUGCAUGUACUGAAAGCAUUCUCUGUAGAAUUAAGGACUCUACCUCGUAUGAUCAUAUAUAUCCUAGCUUAAGGAUCUUGUGUGAAUUUGAUAUGGAACAUCAAAUCACAUGUCUGUUAAUUAAAAGGAUGCAUAGUUUGUAACCUUAAAGCCCUCGUUUUCAUUCAAUUGUUAGAAAAUUUGUGCUCUUAUAUGAAAUCUGAAUGAGUUAGACAAUAUAUAAGACAUAGGAAAGUUUAGAAUGCCUAGAGAAUAUCAAACAAUCAAAAUUAACAUGUUAAUUCUUAAUUUUCGUAGAAAAAAUUACGUGGUAUGUACAAUAGUAUAUGGCAUAUGCAGAUAGUAGUCUUAAAUACAUGUUAUAUAUAGGCCACAUGUAUUAGUACACACCAAAUGCCUCAUGUGCAUGCACAGAACGUCAAGCAAUUUUCAGAUACAAUCAGACUGAAGUAGGAUAUAUAUGUCAAAUUAAGGUGCGUAGAAAGUAGAGGAUCACAUGAGUCUGCAUGCAUGGGAAGCCCAAUCACCAUGUAUUUAACUUUUGCAGGUUGCAAGCGUACAAUAUUACUCAUUUAUAGCAUCAGUAGUUGAUAGGUGAGCGGGAAGUGUGAUUGCAUGCAUAAAUGCAUAAUGCUGCGAUGUCACUGAUGAACUUGGUCUGAAAUAGAAGCUGGCUAGCUCUAGCCUUCUCUGAUUACGUUCACAAUAAACUUCGUAGUCUUGCUUUUCAUGAUCCUAAAAUAGUCCAUUCCAAAUUAGUUUCAGAAUUUCAAAAACUUGUGUUUGAUUAUUGUAUAAAACAAAAAAAAGAAAAUAUAAAAUAAUUUUUUCAAAAAUUUUGAAGUUAAUCUAUAUAUCUUUUCUACUCUAAAACAAGAAAUACAAGAAAUUAUAAAACAAUAAAUACAAGAAAAUGCUACCCAGGUGAUGAGACGAAUCUAACGAGUGGUAGAUCUUACACGCAUGAGUCAUGUGUAACAUGACUCUAAACUUUGGUAAUAUUCUUAAAUGGGAGACUAUCGUACGUGUUCUCAUAGUGAUAUUAAUUACUCGAGCGAGAAUAAUUGUCUUUUCUUCCAUCAUAUUAAUUAACAAUCAUCGUCCUGUAACCGCCAAAACAAAUCAAAAACAAUCCUCUUUUGCCUUUUUGGAGUCUUCAUGUUCUUAGCAUUAGGUGAAUUUGCAUUACCUUUCAUCAACCAUUGUAGAUGGUACUGAACAAUAUACAACCUCAAAAACCAAGUUACGAGGUUUUUAGACUUAUUAAUGUAUCUUUUUUUGAACAAAACACCUACAAAAGGGUUCUUGAUAAUAUGUAACCAUGCUUGCAUGGAAAGCUCUACAAACACCAGGUUCUCUCUCAAGUUCUCAUCAUUCCAGAGAAGGUAACAGCUUUAAUUACUAUCAUUGAGCAUCUCAUAGCAAUUACUUAUAGUGUCCAACAUUCGCUUAUGGUUCUAUCGUCGAACCAAUAUGCAAAAAAGUUCAAGUACAUAUCUUAGUAACUUGUUUGGAGGUUGGAUUUGUGAACCUAGCUAAUUACAGUUUUUGAUGAGAGAUUGGGAGUUUCAAGGUUCAAAUACCUAGAUUCCUGUUUAAAUGAAGCUCGAGCUGCAUGACUGAUUUAACAAUAGUAAUUAUAACUUUAUAAAUCAUUAUAUAUACUUCUAU